GCUUACGGCCAUACCACCCUGAACACGCCCGAUCUCGGAAGCUAAGCAGGGUCGGGCCUGGUUAGUACUUGGAUGGGAGACCUGGGAAUACCAGGUGCUGUAAGCU
rnacentral:rRNA from 1 species